GACCGACUGUCCUCUGGCCUGCUCUGCCUGCAGCUGGAAAAGCAAGUGUACUGAGGCCUCCUCUGGACUCCCUCAUGCUGCCCACUUCUCCCUCCAGCAAGUCCCUGGGCACUGCCAAUGGCCCUGGCCCCUCUCCUCUCUCACCCAUCCACCCACAGAGAGUUGCUAAACCUGUGUCAGGUGCUCUGUAUCUGAGACUUUGGGUGACAACAGUGAGCAAAGGCAGAUGUUGUCCCUGCCCUCAUGGAGCCUACAGGGUUUUGGAGGAGAGAGGUUAAAGAAUCACCAAGCAAAUAUCACCAGUGCUGAGGAGAGAGGUCAGAGUCUGAGCAGCUGGGCCCCAUCUGCUGUCCCUGCCACGUGUCCUCUGGGGAGGGAUAGGGGAGCCAGGGCUCCCAGGGGCCCUGGCUGCUCUUUCUCUUCUACUCCUACACUGAUCCUCGG
rnacentral:lncRNA from 1 species